UUCUUUUAUACCCGCCUCAUUUACCCUCUUUAAUCUUUUCCCACAUCUCAAAGAAAACAAAAUAUCAAAAGAAAAAGAAAAGAAAUAAUAUAUUUUCCAAAAAUGUCGAAACCCUGGGGCCGCAUCGGCGCGUGGGCCGCCGAGGCCGAACGAGAAGAAGCGGAGGAACGUGCGGCUGCGGAAGCUUCCGGGCCCACGGCUGAAUCUCAGAGUUUCCCUAGCCUGAAGGAAGCCGUUAGGGCGAAGCCCAAGAAUAAGAAAAUGUCUCUGUCGGAGUUUAACCAGGGGACAUACUCUUCAUCAGGCGGGGGCGGAUUGGGUGGUGCUAAGGUAACGGAACACAAUAGGCUGACACCCGAAGAGAUGAUGCUCCUCCCGACCCGGCCCAAAGAACGUUCCUCCGAGGAAUUCCAGUACGGACGUCUUGGCGGUGGAUUUUCAUCUUACGGGAGGUCGGGUCCAGGUGCGGGUCGGGGUAUCCGUGACCGUGAAGAUAGCGAUGGAUCUUGGGGUUCCGGAAGGAGGCAGCACGGAGGUUUUAAUGAAGAACGACGGGGUCCGCCUUCUAGGGUUUCUGAUUUUGAUCAGCCCUCGCGUGCCGAUGAGGUGGAUAAUUGGGCAAUGGAAAAAAAAGCAAGUCCUUCUUUGGAUUCGGGCAGGCAAAAUCGAUACGGUGGGCUUGGAACUGGUGCAUUUUCAAAGGCUGAUGAGGUUGAUAAUUGGACGACUGGAAAACGGUCAAAUCCAACUCGAUCUUCGACAUUUGGUUCAGGUUUUCGUGACUCUGGACCAGAGCCUGAUAGAUGGUCCCGAAGUGGUGUUCGUGAUUCUGGACCGGAGCCUGAUAGAUGGUCACGUGGUGGUAGUGGUAGUGGAGGUGGAACCAGAGAGGACAGGCCUAGAUUAGUUUUGGAUCCACCGCGAGGGGAGGUGAAUGAGCUUGUAGUUAAAACAAAUAGAUCGAAUCCUUUUGGGGCAGCGAAGCCCAGGGAAGAGGUGUUAGCAGAGAAAGGAUUGGAUUGGAAGAAGCUGGAUUCUGAAAUUGAAGCAAAGAAGGAAACUAGUCGGCCUACCAGCGCUCAUUCCAGCAGGCCGUCGAGUGCACAAUCUAGCAGGUCCGAAGGACCCCAGCAGCAAGGGUUUGAAAAUGCAAUCAAGACUAGGCCAAAAGUCAAUCCCUUCGGUGCUGCCAAGCCUAGAGAAGUUUUGCUGGAAGAGCGAGGUCAGGACUGGCGUAAGAUUGAUCUUGAUUUAGACCGUCGCAGGAUGGACAGGCCGGAAACAGAAGAGGAAAAGAUAUUGAAAGAGGAAAUAGAUAACUUAAAGAAGGAGCUUGAGAAAAAAUUGACGCCAAGUUCAGAAUCUGCUGGGGACCAACACUCUUUACGUGAAAAACUUAGUCACAAUGAAAGGGAAUUAGAGAUGUUGAUUCAAGAUUUGGAGAACAAAGUUAGAUUUGGGCAGAAAUGUGUUGAAAGGCCUGGUUCUGGAGCUGGCAGGACCGGCAGCUUCCCUGACAGACCUCCUUUGCAGUCUGGAUCUAUUGAUGGAUCUAGAAGUGUGGAGUUCAUGGAUAGGCCUAGGUCUCGUGGUACUAGAGAUGCAUGGACAAGGCCUGGUGAUGAGCGAAGAGGAUUUAAGGGAGGAUUUCAAGGUGGCAGGGAUAGGGGAUUUCAGGGAAACAGAGAUAUGGACAGGUCAAGAUCGAGGGACAGAUGGUGAACCAUGAUCGGAAUUGUUUUGUUGAAUUCUGUCAGAUGAAUUUUGACAACAUGGACCAAUAAUAUUCUUUCAUGUAAAAAUGGCCUUUCCACCAUUUGUCUCCCCUUCUUUCUGGCUAUUUUUGUUUUCCUUGUAGAGCAAGGAGCCUGCCUAUAUUUGAUAGGGACUAGAAACAUUGAGUGAUUCACCAGUUUUAUCUUUAAUAUUCCUUUGGAAUGUUAUAGAGAAGAGUCUAGUGUUGAGGUGGUUGGUGAAUUUCAGGCUGCUUUCUUUGUUUUGGCGUGACAUGGCUGAGU